GCAGGUAAACGAGGUUAUCUUUGUCUAGUUAAUAUAUAAAAUAUCCGUUUCUGAUCUAUAUACUUUGAUUGAAUCUAGAGGUCUAUUGCAAAAUAAAAAUUUUCAAACUUUGCCACAUCUGCUAACCGUACGCUGUGUUUUAUAGUUGACAUUUUAAUUUGACACAUACAUAAAGACAACAAAAGUAUACCGCUGUUCAAUGGUCAUUAAUCUAUUAAGCGAAAACAAAUCAGGGUUACAAACAAAAACCGAGAAAACACAUCAACUAUGAGAGGAAAACAGCUGGACAGAAGAAACACUGAACCGCUACAAAAACAAACGCUAAAGAUACAUGUAUUUAAGAAAAGAAAUUUAGAAUAAGCGAAAUUAAUCGGUGGUAUUCUUCAAAUAAUUAUUAUCAAGGCACGGUUGGGUUCGUUGCAUUUAAAGACUCAACGCUCAUAAAAUCAGGAAUCGUGGAUUACACAUGCAAAUUUUCAACUUUUGGAGAAAAAGUAGAGAGAGUGCACUUUAAUCGAAACAUUGCAUUGAACAGUUUAAUACUUAGGGACGACCUUAAAUAGUUCAAUGCAGGUAAUUUUGUUUUUAACUCACUUCACUUUUUUCACCUCCACACCCUGCUUAAAUAAAUCUGGGAAAAAAUUAAUUGACUAAUAUGGAUAUAUGUAAAAUCGAUUUUGGAUAAACAAAACUUGCAGCAAUUUUAUUCCUCCCCUCCCCCUCCCCAGUCCCGAACUAUUUGAAUUAAGUUUUUUUUUUUUAUCCUAGAUUGAUCUUUGAUGUCGUCCCAUACUUAUUAACUACAAAAAAAAAUCAAUCUUAUCAUUACAUUUGAUUGGUUCUAAUAAAACCACUUUAUGUAUAUAAUGCACCCCUUUGGAACAUAGGUGGGCUGGGGGAAAUUGUAAUCAACACAAAUCCAUACAAAAUUGGUUAAGGGGCAGGUGGGGAUGCCAAACACUUGAUUUAGUAAUCGAAAUUAAAAUGAUAGUUAUCAAAGGCAUCUUUCAUUGAAAUUUACAACGAGUAUAUUCACGAAACGUAUUUUGGGGGAUGGAUGAAGGGGGAGGUUGGGCUUGCAAUGGAGCAAUAUAAAAACAUAUCAUGGCCGCCAAAGUCAAAAUGACCCCCAAUCUGUGUAUUAUGUACUACGCUUAAAAAGUAAAGAUUUUCGAGAAUAGAUGUUGUUGUCUCUUUGAAAAUUCCCACUUUCCAUUCUCAAUUUUAUUUAGCUGAAUUUGUCAAUUCCAUUCAGAAUUUCGGUUCUUUAAUGCUCUUCAACUUUAUUUCAUUUGGCUUUUAAAUGUUUUACAUUGUAUUAUUAAAAGUUAUGUUUUCAAAAUGGCGCUGUAAAAAUGUGAAAAAAAAGACUGUG
rnacentral:lncRNA from 1 species